GGGAACAUAGCUCAGUGGGAGAGUACUUGCCUAGCAUGCAGAAGGUCCAGAGUUCAAUCCUCAAUUUGAUCCCU
rnacentral:tRNA from 1 species